rnacentral:rRNA from 1 species
UACGUAGGGUGCAAGCGUUGUCCGGAAUUAUUGGGCGUAAAGAGCUCGUAGGCGGUCUGUUGCGUCGGCUGUGAAAACCCGGGGCUCAACUCCGGGCCUGCAGCCGAUACGGGCAGACUAGAGUUCGGCAGGGGAGACUGGAAUUCCUGGUGUAGCGGUGGAAUGCGCAGAUAUCAGGAGGAACACCGGUGGCGAAGGCGGUUCUCUGGGCAUUACCUGACGCUGAGGAGCGAAAGUGUGGGGAGCGAACAGG